AUGAAAUCUGCCUUCCAGGUAAUGAGGGUACCAGCUGAAGACCACGUGGAGUUUGUGAAACAGCAUCUCAAAGAUGAAGCUAAAGCGACUAUAAGGUUCAUGCUGGGUGGCAAAGAAGAUUCUGCAGAAAGCAUCUUUAAAGUGCUUUUGGAGACAUAUGGAGACAAAGUGCCAAUCGGAACCAGACUUAAUGCCUUCUAUGAACGAAAGCAGAUGCAAGGAGAGACGAUACGUUCAUAUGCAUAUGAUUUACAGGAGAGACUGAGCAAAGUUCAGCGCAGAGAGCCAAACCAAAUUCCCGAUGCCGAAAGUGUGUUAAAAGAGCAGCUUGUCCUGGGCCUUCGAGAUGAUUUCCUGAGGCGUGAAAUGAAAAGACGAGUUAAAGAGGACACGGGUUUGACUUUUGUUCAGGUAAUGCAAGCAGCAAUCACCUGGGCUGAAGAAGAAGAGUCACAAACACCAAACAAUCCAAAACCCAGUUCCCCUGUUAGAGUAGUUAAUGCUGAUGCAGAACAAGCUUCCUCUACGUUAACUUUGGAAAAACUGCAUGAAGCCAUACAAAAGAUUGCUGCCCGUCAAGAAGAACUCUAUCAGGCCGUACAUGGUAACAGCAGAGUACGACUUCAACAGAGCCUCCCAAAAAGACAACCCCUGAAGGACAGCGAUGGCCAAUACAUCUGUUAUUCGUGUGGCGAGCCUGGGCACACUAGCAGGCGCUGUCCACAAGGUGCUGAGGCAGCUAUGGUGUCUGAUCAGUCUCGACGUUCUACAGGGAUGGUGGAAACAAACAUAGGAAACGUUCCAACAAACACGACACAAGCCAGCUCUGGGCCAUCUAUGAUAAGAAGUCAUAUAGCUGAAUGGUCCGACGAAGUGACAGAGACAUUGAAAAAUGGUGCAUUUGGAGAUUGUUUGACUAUUGAAGUUAGAAUAGCUGGUGUCAAGACAAACUGCUUGCUGGAUACAGGCUCAGAAGUGUCCACUAUUACAGAAUCACACUUUAGGAAGCACUUCGCAGAGCAAAAGCUGAAAUUGUCAUCUGCUCACUGGGUCAAACUCACUGCAGCUAAUGGGCUCGACAUUCCGGUCCUAGGAUGUUUACAAGCUGACGUGGAGUGCAUGGGGAAGGUUCUCCCAGGGAAGUGCAUCUUUGUGCUGACAGAUACCAGCCCAGAAUCUGAGGAGAUAAGAGGACUUUCUGGUAUCAUUGGAAUGAAUAUUAUCAGUGAGUUUAAAUCGUUGUUCGUCACAGGAGAGAGAGUAAAGACAGCCAACAAAUACAGGAAACCCGCAGAAGCAAAGAUAAGAAGGGUGUUAGCAAGUGUCGAGAAGACUGAACCCCUGAGUCCUGACGGCAAGAUUGGGUUUGUUGUGGAAGUUGGUGGAAAGCAGACCAUCACUAUCGCUCCACUAAGUGAGAAAGUGUUUGAAGGUCGUUGCAGAGUGCCACCUAAAGUGAAGUGCCAAGUAUUAAUUGAGCACACCACUGGUGUGAGUCUACCCAAGGGGCUCUUAGUGGCCAAUGUGCUAACAAAAACUGAAGGUGGUAAAGUUCCUGUACGAGUAAUGAAUUAG
ensembl:lncRNA